UACGGGGGGGGCAAGCGUUGUUCGGAAUUACUGGGCGUAAAGGGCGCGUAGGCGGCCUUCUAAGUCGGACGUGAAAUCCCUCGGCUUAACCGAGGAACUGCGUCCGAUACUGAAAGGCUUGAAUCCGGGAGAGGGAUGUGGAAUUCCAGGUGUAGCGGUGAAAUGCGUAGAUAUCUGGAGGAAUACCGGUGGCGAAGGCGGCAUCCUGGACCGACAUUGACGCUGAUGAGCGAAAGCUAGGGGAGCAAACGGG
rnacentral:rRNA from 1 species